CACUGUUAAGGCUUUAAUUGCCCCUUAAUCUAUUGAACAAGGAAAUAAGACAGGGGAGUAGUACUGAUCUCAUUUUUUUUGACCUGCCUGCCUUUUAGUCAUACCUCGGGUCAGAGCUGGCUUUUUCCCUUGAGUGUUUCUCUGUGUGAGGGGGUGGACAGAGAAGACUUAAAGAUGGAUGGCAGCACCUAUCCUUACUGCUUAGAUUACCUUCAGAGCACUUCACACCUGCAGGUGCUGCUGAAAAAAUGCUGACUUGCAAGUGGACUGGAUGCAGGAACGCAAAAUGGAGGAAAACACUAAAAUGCUCUUCCAGCCUUCCCACAGCCUGUCUGCAGCUGGAAUGUAUCAUCAUUACUUGGCCAACAGGGGUUGGAAAUAUUUAAUGGAAUUUACUAAUUUGAUCAGCAAUGGAGACUGCUACUCAGUGGAGAAGGAAAAUGGAUUCCCCCCAGAUGAGAGUGUAGCAAUACCUAAUUAUCUCAUUCUGGCUGUUGCCCUCUGUGCCCACAUGUAUUCAAUCAUUCUCAUUUAGUUCUGGCACCAUAAGGAUUUGUCACUUAAUAAUUUGUUUUACUUGUAGCCAUUUCCUUUUGAUAAAGUGAGCGUCAGGUGGCUGUUCCUGGGCAUUUUGCUGAUCCGAUCAUUGAAAAAAUUGUUCAAAUACUGUUUCUGCAUUGCUGCAAUUAGCAUAAAGGGAAAGUUGCAUGUGCUGCCAUAAAUUGACCAAUUUACUUGUGAUUUUUUUUGUGUGCUUGCUGCUCAUUGUUCUAUCUUUUUACCAAUACAUUCACUUAAAAAUAAUAAUAUCUCUUAGCCAUUUGCUGGUCUGUAUUUAUGUUGACAAAAGUUUCAACAAUAAUCAAUGAUAGGCAUAGAUUUCAUAUGUGGCAACCUUCAAUUUGAAAACUCUUGCUCACCUGAGUGUAGAUAGAAUGCAUUAUCUGACAGUAAUUACUCUAAUUAAUAAAUGGAUCCUCCUCCUAAAGCUUAUUUCAAGAGGAAGAAAGUGUAGCUUUCAAGUUGUGGUCAGGUGUGAAGGCUUGCAUAUGCUGUGAAUCUUAGUUCUAGAUGUUGAUUUUUUGUGUCCGUAUUUGUAAACCUGCUGCUCUGUGUGUAGUGGGUAUGUGUAUGCGCUAUGAAUGAAUUAUAAAUAUUUAGUUAUGCUUUUAGAUCUCUUUAUCACAUCUGAGCUCAUUAAAACAAAGCAAAUGUAAUCAAUCAAACCUGCUGGUAAAAUGUGACAGGCAGUUAAAUUAGGGGAUUAAAAUAGUGAAUUCCUGGAGGUACUCUAAACCAGAAGGAUGCAAAGAGCUGGGUUUAAAUGUGUUGUUGUGAGCAUCCCUACCAAAUGGCUCAUGCAAUACCAUAUGUAGGAGCAACUCACAGUAAAGUGUUUGCCUUUAAGUUGUAUCGUAUUAAAUAAGGACUUAAGAUUACAUGUUUGAAAGACAAAGCAAGCCCAGUUUUUUUUCUUUUUAAAUACUCUGAUUUAUAUAUAUAUAUAUAAAUCUUUUGCAUCUGUUUUGUAUCCCUUUUAUGGGAUAUUGGGUAAGGUUAUAUAACAACUUGCUUUAGUUAGAAGAUAAAUGGAUAAGAAAAUACAUUAAAACUCAUAAUCAUGUGGCUUGCAUAUAGUCCAGGAUCAUGUCUGAAUUGUGCUAUGCGAAAUAGAAAUAAGUAUUAAAUAUUGGUGCAAAGUAUAAGUCUAUAUUUUGUUUAGCCUUUGGCUUGCCUAGAAUGUAAAUCAUUACCCCACAAAUUUUUUUUCAGCGUAAUCUAAAGGAAUCUCAAUGUUUUUAAAUAUUUAAUCUUUUUUUAUCUUGUUCCAUUUUCUGUUCUAUAUUCCCAGCAUACCAAUACUUUAUUGUGACUUUUUUUUUUUUGAAGAUAAGAACCUAAUCUCAGCACUUGCCUCUUCCUUUAUGAACGUGUGGCAUUCUGCAAAAUAGGAUUUUACUCAGUGGCUGAAGAUUUGUGUGAGGUUUCCAUGUUUCUGAUACAUGCUUAACAGCUUUUAGCAGGUUCUCUGGAAUGACCUGAUAUUCACCUCUUGAAAAACACUGACUGGGAUCCCCAGAUAGGCAGAAUAGUUGAAGGUGGGUUUUGUACUAGCUAACCCAUCCCCAUAGCAUCUCUUUGGAUAGAUAAAGAAGAUCUGACAUUUCCAUCCAGUGGAAGCCACGAUGUCGCAUCCUAGCCAGCAGUGCUGCCAGAGAUCUGUCUUCCCUUUCCCCUCAUACUUCCUCGUCAGAUUUUGCAAAGAUCCCAAUACAUAGACUUUGACAUGAAAAAGAACACCGGUGACAACCCCAAUGAAUAUCCCCACAAUAUGCGUUGGUAUGGUAUUUAUGGAAAUUGCAAACCUGUAGGCUUUAAUAACGCACUAGAUUUGUUGCACUAUAAUCUCUGGUGUAAUUGUUAUAAUAAAUAG